rnacentral:rRNA from 1 species
AUUGAACGCUGGCGGCAGGCCUAACACAUGCAAGUCGAGCGGAGCGGCGGACGGGUGAGUAAUGCCUAGGAAUCUGCCUGGAAGUGGGGGAUAACGUCAGGAAACGGGCGCUAAUACCGCAUCCUCUCAGAUGAGCAUAGGUCGGAUUAGCUGGUUGGUGGGGUAAAGGCCAACCAAGGCGACGAUCCGUAACUGGGCUGAGAGGAUGAUCAGUCACAAUGGAACUGAGACACGGUCCAGACUCCUACGGGAGGCAGCAGUGGGGAAUAUUGGGCAAUGGGCGAAAGCCUGAUCCAGCCAUGCCGCGUGUGUGAAGAAGGUCUUCGGAUUGUAAAGCACUUUAAGUUGGGAGGCGUUACCAACAGAAUAAGCACCGGCUAACUUCGUGCCAGCAGCCGCGGUAAUUC